UAAGGAAUAUUGGUCAAUGGAGGCAACUCUGAACCAGCCAUGCCGCGUGGAGGAUGAAGGCCCUCUGGGUUGUAAACUUCUUUUAUGUAGGAAGAAAGGCAGAUAGUCUUAUUUGUUUGACGGUACUACAGGAAUAAGCACCGGCUAACUCCGUGCCAGCAGCCGCGGUAAUACGGAGGGUGCAAGCGUUAUCCGGAUUCACUGGGUUUAAAGGGUGCGUAGGCGGGUGUGUAAGUCAGUGGUGAAAGCCUGGAGCUUAACUUCAGAACUGCCGUUGAUACUACACGUCUUGAAUGCUGUGGAGAGGAGCGGAAUAUGUCAUGUAGCGGUGAAAUGCUUAGAUAUGACAUAGAACACCGAUUGCGCAGGCAGCUCCUUACACGGUUUAUUGACGCUGAGG
rnacentral:rRNA from 1 species